rnacentral:rRNA from 2 species
CGGGGCUUAAAGUCUUGUAAUUGGAAUGAUGGGAAUUUAAACCUCUUCCAGAGUAUCAAUUGGAGGGCAAGUCUGGUGCCAGCAGCCGCGGUAAUUCCAGCUCCAAUAGCGUAUAUUAAAAUUGUUGCAGUUAAAAAGCUCGUAGUUGAAUUUCUGCUGCAUCGCUGUGUCCCUUCGGGGUCUCUGCAUGUGGCUUAUUUCAGACGGAGUUUUCUUUGUCUGGAUGUUUACUUUGAGAAAAUUAGAGUGCUCAAAGCAGGCUUUUGCCUUGAAUAGUUUAGCAUGGAAUAAUAAAGUAGGACUUUGGUUCUAUUUUGUUGGUUUUAGGUACCAAAGUAAUGGUUAAUAGGAACAGUUGGGGGCAUUCGUAUUUAACUGUCAGAGGUGAAAUUCUUAGAUUUGUUAAAGACGAACUACUGCGAAAGCAUUUGCCAAGGAUGUUUUCAUUAAUCAAGAAC